rnacentral:rRNA from 1 species
UACGUAGGUGGCAGGCGUUGUCCGGAUUUACUGGGCGUAAAGAGCGCGCAGGCGGUCGUUCAAGUCGCGUGUGAAAGCCCCCGGCUCAACUGGGGAGGGUCAUUCGAUACUGCUCGGCUCGAAGACAGGAGAGGGAAGUGGAAUUCCCGGUGUAGUGGUGAAAUGCGUAGAUAUCGGGAGGAACACCAGUGGCGAAGGCGACUUUCUGGCCUGUUCUUGACGCUGAGGCGCGAAAGCUAGGGGAGCAAACGGG